rnacentral:piRNA from 1 species
UGGAAAGUCCAAGUGGCGUUCUCUC